AAACAUUUAGAAGCUGACAACGGUAGUUGAUGAGCCAUUAACUAGUUGACAACCCGGGUUGUCAACCUUAAAUAGUAAAUACCAAAGAUGGAUAUAGAUUGACGACUAGAGUUGACAAGCUAUUAACUAGUUGAUGGGCGGUCAACUGAAGACAUCAAUUGAAAAUUUUUUACAAUUUUUAUCUUCAGUGUUUUUAGAGGUAUUUUGGUUUUUUCCUUGCCUCAAACCCUACCCCACGACUUAAAUCACUAUAUAAGUAUUAUUUACUCAGCUAUUAUAAAUUUUUUAUCGCUCUUUCUCCUCUUCACUCUAACUAGAAAAUAUGUUAGGAUUUCUUUCCAAAACUGAUACUUCUAAGAUUCAAAUUCAAGCUGUACUUAACUAUGGAAUUUUCAUAAAACUUUAAAUUACAUUUAUAUACAUAUAUUAUGGAUUUUGAAAUUGUUUGAAGAGCAUAAACUAUGAAAUCCUUUUUAUAAUGAAAAUUAUAUAUUUAACCAGUGUUGUGGAAUAAUUAUUAAAUGCUAAAAAGGUUGGGUUAUAAAUACUUUUUUUGGAAAAUUAUAUAUUAUUUAUAUUUAUGGAUUCAAAGGGUUGUUUCUUGUAUUUUUUUCAAAUGCUCAUGUUUUCUCAUGGAGAUUGUGUGAAAUUAUGAAAACAUGACCACGAUUACAAUUAUAGAGAUGUCUUGAAAGAAUUUUAUUUUACCUAAAUUUUCUCAUGAAUUUCAAGAGAAUUCUUAUAUGAUAUUUUAAUAAUUUAGGUGGUCAAUUAUAUGUUUUUAAAUAAUGUUCUAUGGAGAUGAUAUGAUAUGAUUUAUGCGACUUACAAGUCUAGGUAUAACAAUACCUUUUCAGAGAAUAUCCUUAAAGAGAAAGAAAUAAACUCUAUAACAAUGAUAAAUGAUUUUAAGAUGCUAAAAAUGGUCUUUAAGAGAGUUAGAUGGUUAACUGUGAGGGACUGAGUUGAAAGUCUUACAGCACAAAAUCAUAUUUUAUCAAUGUGGGAAUUCAUUCAGUCCUAAAAUUGUGAUAGUAAAUGUAUUCUAGCCCCAGGCAUGGUAUACUAGAAUAGAAUAUAGAUACUCUAAUCCUUGAGGCAAACAUGAAUUUGGGGACCUGGCCAACGAGUUAAGGUCGAACCCAUAUAAUCCAUGGGUAGUAAAAAGGUCGGAGAUGUCAUCUAGCUCAAAAUUUAAAAAAAAGUGGAGUCUAUGUUUUUACGAGAUUGAGUGAAGCUUUUAAAUUAUGCCUAUGCAUUUUGAUUUCUAUUUUUGUUGAAUUAUUUCAUAAUGCUCUUGUUUAUUUUGUAUACAAUAUAUGUUGUUUUUGGAUUGUUCUACAUGUCAAUACAUUUAAGGCAUUGACCGCUCUCUGGCAUCUAGAUUUUUUCAUAAUGUAGGUUAUGAGGUUCAGUCUCAUGGUCUAUCACAAUAGUAAAAGCUUCCAAAGCAUCAG
rnacentral:lncRNA from 1 species